rnacentral:rRNA from 1 species
AGAGUUUGAUCAUGGCUCAGAUUGAACGCUGGCGGCAGGCCUAACACAUGCAAGUCGAGCGGUAGCACAGAGAGCUUGCUCUCGGGUGACGAGCGGCGGACGGGUGAGUAAUGUCUGGGAAACUGCCUGAUGGAGGGGGAUAACUACUGGAAACGGUAGCUAAUACCGCAUAACGUCGCAAGACCAAAGAGGGGGACCUUCGGGCCUCUUGCCAUCAGAUGUGCCCAGAUGGGAUUAGCUAGUAGGUGGGGUAACGGCUCACCUAGGCGACGAUCCCUAGCUGGUCUGAGAGGAUGACCAGCCACACUGGAACUGAGACACGGUCCAGACUCCUACGGGAGGCAGCAGUGGGGAAUAUUGCACAAUGGGCGCAAGCCUGAUGCAGCCAUGCCGCGUGUAUGAAGAAGGCCUUCGGGUUGUAAAGUACUUUCAGCGGGGAGGAAGGUGUUGUGGUUAAUAACCGCAGCAAUUGACGUUACCCGCAGAAGAAGCACCGGCUAACUCCGUGCCAGCAGCCGCGGUAAUACGGAGGGUGCAAGCGUUAAUCGGAAUUACUGGGCGUAAAGCGCACGCAGGCGGUCUGUCAAGUCGGAUGUGAAAUCCCCGGGCUCAACCUGGGAACUGCAUUCGAAACUGGCAGGCUAGAGUCUUGUAGAGGGGGGUAGAAUUCCAGGUGUAGCGGUGAAAUGCGUAGAGAUCUGGAGGAAUACCGGUGGCGAAGGCGGCCCCCUGGACAAAGACUGACGCUCAGGUGCGAAAGCGUGGGGAGCAAACAGGAUUAGAUACCCUGGUAGUCCACGCCGUAAACGAUGUCGACUUGGAGGUUGUGCCCUUGAGGCGUGGCUUCCGGAGCUAACGCGUUAAGUCGACCGCCUGGGGAGUACGGCCGCAAGGUUAAAACUCAAAUGAAUUGACGGGGGCCCGCACAAGCGGUGGAGCAUGUGGUUUAAUUCGAUGCAACGCGAAGAACCUUACCUACUCUUGACAUCCAGAGAACUUAGCAGAGAUGCUUUGGUGCCUUCGGGAACUCUGAGACAGGUGCUGCAUGGCUGUCGUCAGCUCGUGUUGUGAAAUGUUGGGUUAAGUCCCGCAACGAGCGCAACCCUUAUCCUUUGUUGCCAGCGGUUAGGCCGGGAACUCAAAGGAGACUGCCAGUGAUAAACUGGAGGAAGGUGGGGAUGACGUCAAGUCAUCAUGGCCCUUACGAGUAGGGCUACACACGUGCUACAAUGGCGCAUACAAAGAGAAGCGACCUCGCGAGAGCAAGCGGACCUCAUAAAGUGCGUCGUAGUCCGGAUUGGAGUCUGCAACUCGACUCCAUGAAGUCGGAAUCGCUAGUAAUCGUAGAUCAGAAUGCUACGGUGAAUACGUUCCCGGGCCUUGUACACACCGCCCGUCACACCAUGGGAGUGGGUUGCAAAAGAAGUAGGUAGCUUAACCUUCGGGAGGGCGCUUACCACUUUGUGAUUCAUGACUGGGGUGAAGUCGUAACAAGGUAACCGUAGGGGAACCUGCGGUUGGAUCACCU